GUGGGGCCUGAACUCAUGAACCAUGAGAUCAUGACCUGAACCAAAGUCGGACGCUCCACCAACUGAGCCACCCAGGUGGCCCUAAAGAAGAUCUUUCUAAACUCUAAAUCUCAUUAUGUCAUUGCUUUGCUUAGGACCCCUCCUCAGAGGUUCCUAACAGCUCACCUACCAAAAGACCUGAAAAUCUAUCAAGGUCUAUUUUUUUUUUUUUUUUACUAGACUGAUUCCUGAUUACAUCUUCUCUUGCCUCACUUCCUCUCUGAAACUUUAUUCCAACCACACUGAGUUAUUUUCAAUACCUAAGAUUUGCUAUGCUGUUUCUUGCGUCAUUUUUGUAUGUUUGCUGAAUUUCCUCCCUGACACAUCUUUCACUUCAUCCUUUAUUUGUGUACUUCUUGUGGCCUCAACAUUGGAUCAGGGUUUUUGUUUGUUUGUUUGUUUUGUUUUUGUUUUUUUUUCCAGGAAAACUUCCAUGCUGCAUCCCCAGUCCCUGUCGGUGUCUGCCUUUAUGGUAUAGCACUGUCAAAUUUGGCUGUAAUACAGAAAGGAAAUGGCUGGAAUAUUUUCCAUCAUUAGACUGUGAAUACUUGAAUUUAGAAAUUCCAUCACAUUUUCACUGACAUUUUGAAAUGGAUAUAUGAAAGUAUUCUAGAGAACGGGUUUUUACGCACGUUUUGGGGGCAAGCUCAGCUCCCUUUAAUGAGGUCAAAUUGAUCUAUCCUUCUUCUCCAGUUCUUGCUGUCACCACCCUGGUUCAAGAUCUCAUCAUGGCAUAUCUGGAGUGUCACUAUAGCCUUCUCCUCACUUUUUGGGAAUCCAUUUAAAUGCCCUUUCAGAGUCUUUAACUAUGCAUUCAGUGAUAAUAAAUAUUUGGUUAAAGGCAUUUCGUUUUUUAACCAAAAAAAAUUUUUGAGUACCUACUCUGUACCAGUCACUCUUCUUGACGCUUGGGCUACAUCAGUCGGAAACAAAAUAGAAACGAAACAAAACGUAGUCUUGGGAACUUGCAUUUAUUUUAUUACAUUUUUGGUGAUGACAUUUGUUUUAACCACUGAAAUGUAUCUACAGCUCGAAUUAUAUAGAUGUAGUUGCAUAUUACAAGUGAAGAAAGCCAUGACUCCUUAUGCAUUUGCAAAUGUUGCAUCCACUACCCUAUAUCGGUUAUAUAUCACACAACAGUGUAUUUAUUACUGUGCAGUAAACCAUCUCAGUCUCAGUGCCUCAAAAGAAUACACUUGUGUUAUUUCUCAUGAGUCUGUGAGUCAGCUUGACAGUUCUGCUGAUCUGGACCAGGCUAAGCUGCUCUCAGCUGGGUUAGCUCACACAUCUGUGGAAAUCUGGCGGAUCAGCUAGAGGCUGCUUCAUCUAAAAUAGUCUUACUCAUGUCUGGCUGUGUGCUGGUUGCUGGUUGGGGAGAUGGAAAUGACCAGGCCAGAUAUGUCUCACCAUCUAGCUUGGGCUUGUUCACAUUCUGGUUACAAGGUCCCAGGAGAGAGAACAGAAUAGAUCGGGCCUCUUGGAACCUUAGGUCAGAACUGGCACAUGGACUCAUCUGUUGGCCAGAACAAGUUAUAAGACCAGUCCAGAUUCAAGGGGUAGAGGAAUGGGUUCUACCUUUGGAAGGAUGAAACGGUCACAUUGCAAAGUGGGUGAAGGAUUGAGGACAUUUUGGCAAUCAAUCUACAACAGUUUCCUUCUUUGCAGAUUCAGUACGUGAUAGAAUGCUUAGAGAGGUUUUUGCUUGUCGGUCAUUGUACACAAUUAGCUUAUUUCUGUAUAUGGUUCAGAACUUCCUGUGAUACAUAAAACUAAAAUGUUAAACCCUUAAGUUUUUGUGAGCUUCUUGAGGACAAGGAACAUACCUAAUUCAUCUCAUCUUCUGUGGGACAUAGCACAGCACAUUGCACAGAAUAGACUCUCAAAAUAUUUGCUGAAUCAGUUAUUCACGAAAUCAGUCAUAUGAACCUGCAAUAAAGAGUAGGAGAGUGCCAUAGUGAGAUGUCCCUUCACAUAUACUUGACUUAAAUGGAACAUGAAAACACUAAUUCAAAGUACUUUCCCAAUAUUAUUUGGCUAGCUAAAAUACUUUCCUAUUUGAUGGGGGGAAAGAGCUGAAAUCCAUUAUUUUUGACUCACCAACAGUCAUGUGAUACUUCUGAGAAGAGAUAAGGAUUGAUUUCUUCAGAUAGUUAAAGUGCUGGCAAACAACAACAACAACAACAACAAACAACAACAACAACAGCAACAACAACGGCAACAACAACAACCAGGAAGGGAAGCAGAGAGAUCGGAGGUCCUGCCAUAUGCCACAGUGAAGUUAAACUGGGUAGAGCUAAAGCCCUACCAUCCUGUGUUUGGGGGAAGUAGGAAGGUGUGGUUAAAAAAAAAAAAAAAAAGUCUAUCAAACUCUUGCCUUAGUUGAGCCAAGCUAAUGAGGUUAAUAAAGAGUGAAAUAAACCUUCCAGGGAAAGCAUCUAAAUUACUCCCAGGAGACCCUGUCUGGAGAUAAGGUCCAUGUAAAAGAUAAAAUACAGGUAUAUUAUAAAGGCAAACUAUCCUCAUUCAUAGUGUUUGAGAGAGAUGUUACUGCUAGAAAGCUCUGAUAUUAAUAACAGAGUUUUAAUUUUUGUUUUUGUUUUUUUCAUUUUCCCUCCAGGAUGUCUUAUAUAACUAUAUGAUGCUGAGAGAAGAUGGGGACAAAAAUAAAAGAAGAAGAAGAAAGUUCCUUAGCUUUAAGAAUUUGCAUUUUGGGGGUGCCCAGCUUCUAUGUGGAGGGGAUAUAUACACGAAGAGAGGGGCAAAGGUGGAUGCAGAGGUUCAAGUUUUGAAGCCAUUGCAGUAACUAUAGGAUCCCUGGAGGGCAGAUUUAUUCACCUACAGUUUCUAGAAGCCAUCUGAUUAUAAUCACCAUGGCUGUUCACUAUUUGGGAAUCUCAACUUGGACAGAAACAGACUCCUUAAGAUUCUGACAUCUCUAGACACGUCUGCCGACUUGGGAAGUCUCUGCCAGCCAUAAUUAGCAGUGGUGACACCUUGGGGAGGAGGCUGUCCCCAGUGGAAUUGGUGGCUUCACUGAUAACGGUAACUUCAGGAAUAGCCAUCACAAGGAGUUCCAGUGGGGAAGGGAAAAAAACAAAGGGUUAUUGCUGAAGGAACUGUGUUGAUAACUAAAUACGUAGGCAUUUAGUUGGAGGAAAGUCUAAAGCCAGUCUGGAGAUAUAGUGUCAGGACAAAACAAUUACUGUUUGGUGUCCUUAUUAAUGCCUGGGUUUACCCAAGUCUAAAAGAAGCCAAGAGGCUCCUGCUGCAUAACAGGAUUACUGGUCCUGGUCAAUUUUGCCCUCCCUACUGCCUUACUCCAGGAUGAUUUUAUGUGGAUUGCUAAUGACUUCACACUAUAACACUCUGAAAGAACACAAAAGGAUUUUCAAAUCUUCUUUUGGUUCCCUCAUCCAGAAAGUCAGCUGUAACCUUGGUCAGAAAAUCUUUGCUAAAUAUCUGUGUUUUCUCUUAUCAUGUGGCUAGUGUCUUUAGGAAUCACUAAGGUUUUGGAGCAAAACAUUCUAAAUAUAACCCUAGGAAGACAUAUCUAAAUUCUUUCUGAAAAAUGGAAUUGUGGGAGGUAGGCCUGAAUGAUGGACAAGAUUUGAGCAUGUAGUGAAGAAGGAACAGGCCAUUCUCAGAUGAGAAAUGAACAGACUUGUGCCACCGGGGAUGGUCCUGGCUAAUUCAAAAAGUUUAAACACCAGGUAGUGAGGUUUCAGGGGAAAUGAAGGAGGCAGGAGGAAUCUCUGUGAGAAGGUGUCAGCACCCAUAAACUUUUCAGCCCCUCGUACCUGACACAAUUAGGCAAUAUGUAUUUUUUUUUACUUUUUUUAAGAUUUUAUUUAAAAAAAUGAUUCCAAGUAAUCUCUACAUGCAACAUGGGACUCAAACAUAUACCCCUGAGAUCAAGAGUCGCAAGCUCUACCAACUGAGUCAGCCAGGCACCCCAGCAAUACAUGUUUUUGAGCGCUAAGCAAUUUACUUCAUUCCUGGCAAGAAAUCAGAAAACCUUUAAGUCUUCAGAUUAUUUCCUGUCAAUGCUUUAACAGUGACCCCUCAUGUGAGAAGUGCAAAGACCCUAGAUGACACUGUGGACUGUGAAACUAUAUUUUUUUUCUGUUAAUAAUGGGGGGCAUGCUAUCCUGGGAGCCCCUCUCAGGUUGGUGAUAUGGUGGCUCAGAAUGCCCAGGUUGGAAACCGGGGACUUGACAGAUUUCUUUCAUCUAAGAGUUAUGUAUUUAUUUUUUGUACUUGACACCGCUUUGAAGGUAUCAAGAAGGAGCAAAAACAGCACCUUGCAAGGACAGUGAGAUAUCAAUUACUUUUAAUUACUCCCCAGCUCUCUCCCUUAAUUACCUACUAUGUUAGCUGGGAUUUAUUGCAGAGUAAUAAUAGUGAUGCUUUGCAUUUACAUAGUCCCUUUCUCCAAGGAGUUCAGUGUACUUAUAGAUAUGACUUUGCUAUUAAUCCCCAAAUUUAAAAUGUUACAAAAACAUUUCCAUGAAUAAGGAAGUUAUAAAGGAACUAUAUUCCCAUUUUUCAGGUCGGACAUAUUCUAGAGAUAGUUCACAGUAACAGCCAAAUUUGAGGGAUCCCAAUAAUAACCUUUCCCCUCUAUAUUUUACCUGUUUUGUUUAUUAUACACGGUUCUUAUGUUUACUCAUUAAACAUAACUGGCACCUGGGUGGCUCAGUCAGUUGAGCAUCUGACUCUUGAUUUCCGCUCAGGUCAUGAUCUCACAGUUUGUGAGAUUUGAGCC